GACUAGAUAAAAAUAUUAAGAUGAUAUGGCGAAUGGUUUUAUCUUUUGUCUCUCGGGAGAUGAACCGUGUUAGUGUCAUCCAUAUAAAAUGUACUUGGUUGUUACCAGAGGGAUUAAAAAGAGGAGACCGAGAUUGAAAACAUGUUCGGCAACUCGCUCAUAUUUGAGCAAUAAUAUAAUUAUCGACUCGGGCUCUGCUUUUCUCGCGUUGAUCGGACAAAUGCGAGAUGUCAUCGAAUGACCGAUUCUCUGUAUACAAGAACCUCCGGCAUAACAUCGACGCGAUGAUGCAGUUCUCGUGACGGUCAAAUUUCUCAUCGUAUAUAUACGGUGCAUAUUUCCCAAAAAGUGAAGACGCCAUUCGCAAGAAAUAAAAGUAUAUUAAUGCUCACAGUGAAUACAAAGUUUUAAUAUAUGUGAUUCGCAUAUAUAUGUAGCACUAAAUAAAGUUUAUCGUUAUCGCGUGCACUGAGA